rnacentral:rRNA from 1 species
GAUGAACGCUAGCGGCAGGCCUAAUACAUGCAAGUCGAACGGUGGUAGCGAUACCAUAGUGGCGCACGGGUGCGUAACACGUAUGCAACCUACCUUAUACUUAGGGAUAGCCUCUGGAAACGGAGAUUAAUACCUAAUAGUACAUUGACUUGGCAUCGGGUUAAUGUUAAAGAUUUAUUGGUAUAAGAUGGGCAUGCGUCCAAUUAGUUAGUUGGUGAGGUAACGGCUCACCAAGACGAUGAUUGGUAGGGGAACUGAGAGGUUAAUCCCCCACACUGGAACUGAGACACGGCCCAGACUCCUACGGGAGGCAGCAGUGGGGAAUUUUGGGCAAUGGGGGCAACCCUGAUCCAGCCAUUCCGCGUGAGUGAAGAAGGCCUUCGGGUUGUAAAGCUCUUUCGGCAGGAACGAAACGGCGAGCUCUAACAUAGCUUGCUAAUGACGGUACCUGAAGAAGAAGCACCGGCUAACUACGUGCCAGCAGCCGCGGUAAGAC